AAAGCUGACGAACCCUUGUUGAUCAAGUGUUAUGCUGGCAAUGUAGAAAAUAUUAGCAUGUCAACAACAGGACUGUUUUAAGAACAACGUGUGCAUCAGCGGAUAUGAAUUCUGUUUUCUGCUCA